rnacentral:rRNA from 1 species
GAGUUUGAUCUUGGCUCAGGAUGAACGCUGGCGGCGUGCCUAAUACACGCAAGUCGAGCGAACGGACGAGAAGCUUGCUUCUCUGAUGUUAGCGGCGGACGGGUGAGUAACACGUGGAUAACCUACCUAUAAGACUGGGAUAACUUCGGGAAACCGGAGCUAAUACCGGAUGAUAUUUUGAACCGCAUGGUUCAAAAGUGAAAGACGGUCUUGCUGUCACUUAUAGAUGGAUCCGCGCUGCAUUAGCUAGUUGGUAAGGUAACGGCUUACCAAGGCAACGAUGCAUAGCCGACCUGAGAGGGUGAUCGGCCACACUGGAACUGAGACACGGUCCAGACUCCUACGGGAGGCAGCAGUAGGGAAUCUUCCGCAAUGGGCGAAAGCCUGACGGAGCAACGCCGCGUGAGUGAUGAAGGUCUUCGGAUCGUAAAACUCUGUUAUUAGGGAAGAACAUAUGUGUAAGUAACUGUGCACAUCUUGACGGUACCUAAUCAGAAAGCCA